GAUGAACGCUGACAGAAUGCUUAACACAUGCAAGUCUUUGGCGAAGCUGUGCUUGCACAGCCUAGCCAAGGCGGACGGGUGAGUAACGCGUAAGGAACUUGCCCUGCAGUCAGGGAUAACAGACGGAAACGACUGAUAAGACCUGGUAAAGUCAGGCGGACUCAUGUCCAGCCUGAUGAAAAGAGAUGCUGCAGGAGAGCCUUGCGUCCUAUUAGCUUGUUGGUGGGGUAACGGCCCACCAAGGCGAUGAUAGGUAGCCGGCCUGAGAGGGUGGACGGCCACAAGGGGACUAAGAUACGGCCCUUACUCCUACGGGAGGCAGCAGUGGGGAAUAUUGGACAAUGGGGGCAACCCUGAUCCAGCAAUUCUGUGUGCACGAUGAAGGUUUUCGGAUUGUAAAGUGCUUUCAGCAGGGAAGAAAAAAAUGACGGUACCUGCAGAAGAAGCGACGGCUAAAUACGUG
rnacentral:rRNA from 1 species